CCUACGGGAGGCUGCAGUAGGGAAUCUUCCACAAUGGGCGAAAGCCUGAUGGAGCAACGCCGCGUGGGUGAAGAAGGUCUUCGGAUCGUAAAACCCUGUUGUUAGAGAAGAAAGUGCGUGAGAGUAACUGUUCACGUUUCGACGGUAUCUAACCAGAAAGCCACGGCUAACUACGUGCCAGCAGCCGCGGUAAUACGUAGGUGGCAAGCGUUAUCCGGAUUUAUUGGGCGUAAAGGGAACGCAGGCGGUCUUUUAAGUCUGAUGUGAAAGCCUUCGGCUUAACCGGAGUAGUGCAUUGGAUACUGGGAGACGUGAGUGCAGAAGAGGAGGGUGGAACUGCAUGUGUAGCGGUGAAAUGCGUAGAUAUAUGACAGAACACCAGUGGCGAAAGCGGCUCUCUGGUCUGUAACUGACGCUGAGGUUCGAAAGCGUGGGUAGCAAACAGGAUUAGAUACCCCGGUAGUC
rnacentral:rRNA from 1 species